GCUACAAUUCUCGAUUCCUCUUCCUCUACAAUGAAGAAAUCCAAUUUCUUAAGAAGUUCUAAAGAUAUGCUUACCAAGAGCUUCAAUUCCACCAAAUGUAAGAUGUCCUUAAAGCUAGCGUCUUCAAGGUUGAAAUUGUUGAAGAACAAGAAGGAAGUGCAAGUGAAGCAGAUGAAAAGAGAACUUUCCCAGUUGCUUGAUUCUGGUCAGGACCGGACAGCAAGAAUUCGUGUGGAGCAUGUACUUAGGGAGGAGAAGAUGAUGGCAGCAUAUGAUCUUAUCGAGAUUUACUGUGAACUGAUCGUGGCACGGUUGCCAAUUAUUGAGUCACAAAAAAAUUGCCCCAUUGACUUGAAAGAAGCAAUUACCAGUGUAGUUUUUGCGUCACCAAGGUGUGGAGACAUACCAGAACUUGUAGAUGUUCGGAAACAUCUUACCGCAAAAUAUGGGAAAGAAUUUAUAAGUGCAGCAGUUGAGCUCCGUCCAAAUUGUGGAGUUAGUCGCAUGUUGGUUGAGAAGUUAUCUGCGAAAGCGCCUGAUGGGCAGACCAAAAUGAGAAUCUUGGGGGCAAUUGCUGAGGAACAUGGUGUUAAAUGGGAUCCUAAAUCAGUAGAAGAGACAGAGUCAGUGCCUUCAAAUGACUUGUUGAAUGGAUCUGGUAGUUUAGAGAAGGCUGGUAACAUCCAUGAAGACCCUCUUCAUCUCAAUGCGUCAGUUAUGAGACUUCCACUUGAUCACUGUAAAAGGCCUAAUGCAUCUUCAAAUCCCCAAGAGCAGAAUGCAAGAUCCUCAUUGGAGACCCAAAGCUUUGACUCUGCAUAUAGUGGUGGUAGAGGAGUAACACCAUCUUCUAACUAUCAUCAUGGAGUUAGUCCUUCAGGGUCUAGGGAUGAAAGGUCAGAAAUUGGGCAGUCAGUUCCUGGAGAUGGUAAAUUUUCUAUGGACAGGCAGAAUUGGAAUAUGGAAUUCAAAGAUGCUACCUCUGCUGCUCAAGCAGCUGCUGAGUCUGCAGAACGUGCAAGCCUAGCUGCCAGAGCUGCUGCUGAACUUUCAAGGGUUUCAAGGCAAUAUUCCUCGGAAUCUCAGAGGCCUGAAGUACAGUCUUUGGUAGGUGGAGGACGAGGAAUGUAUGACACAAGUAUCCAUGAACAUUUUUCCAAAGAUUCAGCAAAUAGCUCUUUAUCUGACAGAAAUCCAAGGCUUCAGAAUGGAAGAAUUGAUAGUUUGCAUCAUGAAAAUCUGGCUAGAGCGACAAGACAAUUUCAUGAUGAUGAUCAUGCUACUUCAGGAGGUUCAGGACCAGGGAACUAUGGUAGUUCAAGUAUGCAUGAACAUUUUCCUAAAGAUUCAGUUGUGAGCUCUUCACCGAAUAGAACUUCAAGGUUUCAGCAAGAAAGGACGGAGAGUUUGCAACAUGAUAAUAUGCCUAGGGCAACAAGACAUGAUAAUGAUAUGCAUGGUACUUUUGAUAGGCCUGAUUCACAAGUCUCCGCAGGUGCCACGGGCUCAAUUAAUACUGAUAAUUCAUUUCCUAGUGUUGGAGAAGGUUAUAAGUACAUGCAGAAAAGCCUAUCAAAAGCGGACAGUGAAAUGAUAACGAGAAAAUCAGUUGGCAGAACUGAAUCUGAAUCCACGGGUAGCUUUAAGAAUGAGUUAGUGGAGGAUUUCAAUUAUUUUGGAGAAGAAGCUAGUAGAAAAGAUCCCAAAAUUAAUUCUUCAGAAUCUUAUUUAAGCGCUUCAGGUUUUGGUGAAAAUAUUCAUCAUUCUAACCAACAAAGUUAUGGUUAUGCUAAGACUAAUGAUCCCUUUAAUAAUGUUUACCAAGGUCACAUUCCUAGUGAAACUGUUAGUAAGAGUUCUCAUGAUUCUGCCUCUGUUGCUUUUGAUGAUUCUGGCUCAGAAGAAGAUUAUAAUAUUAAGUUUGACUCAGAUCCUACAUAUGAUGACCAGCAAGCCAAACUUUAUUUUCCAUCACCAGAAAGGAAAUCACCUACUUACAACUCUGCAAUUAAAGAAUCGUGGAGCUUUGACUCGAACAAAUCACAGGAGGAGUCCUCGAUGACAUCAGAAAUCUUUGUGGAAAAGCAAUCGCCUCAAUUAUACAAAAGCUUGGCUGCCGCUGGUGACAAUUCACGACAAGAAAAUGUUGUGCCAUCCUUUGACGAUUCUGAUGGUAUGAAUUCCGAAAGUGACAGUGAGAUAGUCCAACACCCGAUAGGAACUGAUGGGAACAAAUGGUUACCAGCUUUGCCCAGGACACAGACAGAUCAUGAUACUUUGGCUUCUUCUGUUUCUGACUCCGAAAAGGCAUUCACAUUUGGGAAGUUAACUGGUGGCCUUAAGCAUAAAGGCCAUAUCCCUCCACCUUACUUAAGAAGCCAGUUAAACAGUGUUCCAUCUUCAGUCGAGAAUGCUAAGGGAAGUCCUGCGGUGACGUCACAAGAUGUUGCACCCCCUAAGAGUUCUGUUGGUUUAGGAAUGAGGAUGAAAAUAGACGAUAAGUCAAGCUCAAGAUUGGAUGACACUCAUCAUGCUUCAGAUACCGACAGUUCUGAUGCAGAAUUUUCACAAGAGGCUUCGAGUUACAGUCAAAGAACUUAUUCACAAAAAAGAGGCAGCGAGGUUAAUACAAAAUAUGCAGGCUUACGAGGUUCAUCCACAUAUUUUGAUUCUGAUAGCAGUGAUUCCGAGGCUGGUCCUAAGAAACAUUCUUUUGCUGGUAGAAGUCAAUUGAAUAGUGGAAUUUCUCGUAGAACUAAAGCUUCUUCCUCCAGCUUCGAUACAAACAUUUCAUCAAAGUCUAAAAUCAGCUCCGAAACAGCUGUUAAUUCUGACUCUGGUGUAGAUGGCAAACCCAUCAACUGCUCUUUCGGAAUUAAAACUCAAGAACCUCUGAAACCCGUCAGAAAUUCUUAUGCUGCUGAUACACAAAAAACUCAGAGACUGACCAAGAACUUUUACAGUAGUGAAUCACAUGAAUCCCCAACAGAUAAAAGGAUAAGUUUAGAGCAGCCCAGCGCUGGACCUACAGUUCCAAUGCCUGUUAUACAGACCAGGAUAACAUCACAUGAAAGGAGACAGAAGAUGGGAAGGGUGGAAAAACCAUCUAGCUCUUCCCAAAUGGCAGCAGCAUCAGGCAACAAUGAUGUUCCAAAGGCACCAGCUUCCAGUGGGGACAAAUUUUCCAGUGCGGAUAGCAUGAAGAAAGCUAGUCAUGUACAUCCAAAGCUGCCUGAUUAUGAUGAUAUUGCUUCUAAGUUGCUGUCGCUUCGAACGAGUCCCAAGUGAAAGAUAAUGUCUUUGUAGCUGCGUAUGUACAUGGCGAAAGGUUUCGUAUAGUGUUUCUGAUGACCGCGAGAUUCCAAUACAAUAUAUUUGUUUGUACUGUGCACAUUUUUUUAUUUGAUGUGAAAAUAAUCUUGGGUAUAUGAAUACUUGAAAUGGAUGCUGCGUAGACAGCCCAAAAUUUCUAUUUGUAACUUGAUUGAUAUUCAUUCAUUUGAAAAUGAGUUGUAU
rnacentral:misc_RNA from 1 species